rnacentral:rRNA from 1 species
AACGAACGCUGGCGGCGCGCCUAAUACAUGCAAGUCGAGCGAGAAGACGUAGCAAUACGUUUGUAAAGCGGCGAACGGGUGAGGAAUACAUGGGUAACCUACCCUCGAGUGGGGAAUAACUAGCCGAAAGGUUAGCUAAUACCGCGUACGCUCCUUGGACUUCGGUUCAGGGAGGAAAGCGAUACCGUGGGUAUCGCGCUCUUGGAUGGGCUCAUGUCCUAUCAGCUUGUUGGUGAGGAACGGCUCACCAAGGCUUCGACGGGUAGCUGGUCUGAGAGGACAAUCAGCCACACUGGCACUGCGACACGGGCCAGACUCCUACGGGAGGCAGCAGUAAGGAAUAUUGCGCAAUGGGCGAAAGCCGACGCAGCGACGCCGCGU